rnacentral:rRNA from 1 species
GAUGAACGCUGGCGGCGUGCCUAAUACAUGCAAGUCGAGCGAACAGACGAGGAGCUUGCUCCUCUGACGUUAGCGGCGGACGGGUGAGUAACACGUGGAUAACCUACCUAUAAGACUGGGAUAACUUCGGGAAACCGGAGCUAAUACCGGAUAAUAUAUUGAACCGCAUGGUUCAAUAGUGAAAGACGGUUUUGCUGUCACUUAUAGAUGGAUCCGCGCCGCAUUAGCUAGUUGGUAAGGUAACGGCUUACCAAGGCAACGAUGCGUAGCCGACCUGAGAGGGUGAUCGGCCACACUGGAACUGAGACACGGUCCAGACUCCUACGGGAGGCAGCAGUAGGGAAUCUUCCGCAAAGGGCGAAAGCCUGACGGAGCAACGCAGCGUGAGUGAUGAAGGUCUUCGGAUCGUAAAACUCUGUUAUUAGGGAAGAACAAAUGUGUAAGUAACUAUGCACGUCUUGACGGUACCUAAUCAGAAAGCCACGGCUAACUACGUG